GACGAACGCUGGCGGCGUGCUUAACACAUGCAAGUCGAACGGAAAGGCCCUGCUUUUGUGGGGUGCUCGAGUGGCGAACGGGUGAGUAACACGUGAGUAACCUGCCCUUGACUUUGGGAUAACUUCAGGAAACUGGCGCUAAUACCGGAUAGGAGCUCCUGCUGCAUGGUGGGGGUUGGAAAGUUUCGGCGGUUGGGGAUGGAUUCGCGGCUUAUCAGCUUGUUGGUGGGGUAGUGGCUUACCAAGGCUUUGACGGGUAGCCGGCCUGAGAGGGUGACCGGCCACAUUGGGACUGAGAUACGGCCCAGACUCCUACGGGAGGCAGCAGUGGGGAAUAUUGCACAAUGGGCGGAAGCCUGAUGCAGCAACGCCGCGUGCGGGAUGACGGCCUUCGGGUUGUAAACCGCUUUCGCCUGUGACGAAGCGUGAGUGACGGUAAUGGGUAAAGAAGCACCGGCUAACUACGUG
rnacentral:rRNA from 1 species